GACGACAUUAGACGAAUCAUCUGGAAAGAUGAAUCAAAGAAGGUAAUAAUCCUGUAGUCGAAAAUGUUGUCUCUCUUGAGUGGAUCCUGAGUACGACGGAGCACGUGAAAUUCCGUCGGAAUCUGGGAGGACCAUCUCCUAAGGCUAAAUACUCUCUAGUGACCGAUAGUGAACCAGUACCGUGAGGGAAAGGUGAAAAGCACCCCGGAAGGGGAGUGAAAUAGAACCUGAAACCGUGUGCUUACAAGUAGUCAGAGCCCGUUAAUGGGUGAUGGCGUGCCUUUUGUAGAAUGAACCGGCGAGUUACGAUUUGAUGCAAGGUUAAGCAGUAAAUGUGGAGCCGUAGCGAAAGCGAGUCUGAAUAGGGCGUUUAGUAUUUGGUCGUAGACCCGAAACCAGGUGAUCUACCCUUGGUCAGGUUGAAGUUCAGGUAACACUGAAUGGAGGACCGAACCGACUUACGUUGAAAAGUGAGCGGAUGAACUGAGGGUAGCGGAGAAAUUCCAAUCGAACCUGGAGAUAGCUGGUUCUCUCCGAAAUAGCUUUAGGGCUAGCCUCAAGUGAUGAUUAUUGGAGGUAGAGCACUGUUUGGACGAGGGGCCCCUCUCGGGUUACCGAAUUCAGACAAACUCCGAAUGCCAAUUAAUUUAACUUGGGAGUCAGAACAUGGGUGAUAAGGUCCGUGUUCGAAAGGGAAACAGCCCAGACCACCAGCUAAGGUCCCAAAAUAUAUGUUAAGUGGAAAAGGAUGUGGCGUUGCCCAGACAACUAGGAUGUUGGCUUAGAAGCAGCCAUCAUUUAAAGAGUGCGUAAUAGCUCACUAGUCGAGUGACACUGCGCCGAAAAUGUACCGGGGCUAAACAUAUUACCGAAGCUGUGGAUUGUCCUUUGGACAAUGGUAGGAGAGCGUUCUAAGGGCGUUGAAGCAUGAUCGUAAGGACAUGUGGAGCGCUUAGAAGUGAGAAUGCCGGUGUGAGUAGCGAAAGACGGGUGAGAAUCCCGUCCACCGAUUGACUAAGGUUUCCAGAGGAAGGCUCGUCCGCUCUGGGUUAGUCGGGUCCUAAGCUGAGGCCGACAGGCGUAGGCGAUGGAUAACAGGUUGAUAUUCCUGUACCACCUAUAAUCGUUUUAAUCGAUGGGGGGACGCAGUAGGAUAGGCGAAGCGUGCGAUUGGAUUGCACGUCUAAGCAGUAAGGCUGAGUAUUAGGCAAAUCCGGUACUCAUUAAGGCUGAGCUGUGAUGGGGAGAAGACAUUGUGUCUUCGAGUCGUUGAUUUCACACUGCCGAGAAAAGCCUCUAGAUAGAAAAUAGGUGCCCGUACCGCAAACCGACACAGGUAGUCAAGAUGAGAAUUCUAAGGUGAGCGAGCGAACUCUCGUUAAGGAACUCGGCAAAAUGACCCCGUAACUUCGGGAGAAGGGGUGCUCUUUAGGGUUAACGCCCAGAAGAGCCGCAGUGAAUAGGCCCAAGCGACUGUUUAUCAAAAACACAGGUCUCUGCUAAACCGUAAGGUGAUGUAUAGGGGCUGACGCCUGCCCGGUGCUGGAAGGUUAAGAGGAGUGGUUAGCUUCUGCGAAGCUACGAAUCGAAGCCCCAGUAAACGGCGGCCGUAACUAUAACGGUCCUAAGGUAGCGAAAUUCCUUGUCGGGUAAGUUCCGACCCGCACGAAAGGCGUAACGAUUUGGGCACUGUCUCAACGAGAGACUCGGUGAAAUCAUAGUACCUGUGAAGAUGCAGGUUACCCGCGACAGGACGGAAAGACCCCGUGGAGCUUUACUGUAGCCUGAUAUUGAAAUUCGGCACAGCUUGUACAGGAUAGGUAGGAGCCUUUGAAACGUGAGCGCUAGCUUACGUGGAGGCGCUGGUGGGAUACUACCCUAGCUGUGUUGGCUUUCUAACCCGCACCACUUAUCGUGGUGGGAGACAGUGUCAGGCGGGCAGUUUGACUGGGGCGGUCGCCUCCUAAAAGGUAACGGAGGCGCUCAAAGGUUCCCUCAGAAUGGUUGGAAAUCAUUCAUAGAGUGUAAAGGCAUAAGGGAGCUUGACUGCGAGACCUACAAGUCGAGCAGGGUCGAAAGACGGACUUAGUGAUCCGGUGGUUCCGCAUGGAAGGGCCAUCGCUCAACGGAUAAAAGCUACCCCGGGGAUAACAGGCUUAUCUCCCCCAAGAGUUCACAUCGACGGGGAGGUUUGGCACCUCGAUGUCGGCUCAUCGCAUCCUGGGGCUGUAGUCGGUCCCAAGGGUUGGGCUGUUCGCCCAUUAAAGCGGUACGCGAGCUGGGUUCAGAACGUCGUGAGACAGUUCGGUCCCUAUCCGUCGUGGGCGUAGGAAAUUUGAGAGGAGCUGUCCUUAGUACGAGAGGACCGGGAUGGACAUACCUCUGGUGUACCAGUUGUCGUGCCAACGGCAUAGCUGGGUAGCUAUGUGUGGACGGGAUAAGUGCUGAAAGCAUCUAAGCAUGAAGCCCCCCUCAAGAUGAGAUUUCCCAACUUCGGUUAUAAGAUCCCUCAAAGAUGAUGAGGUUAAUAGGUUCGAGGUGGAAGCAUGGUGACAUGUGGAGCUGACGAAUACUAAUCGAUCGAAGACUUAAUCAA
rnacentral:rRNA from 1 species